rnacentral:rRNA from 1 species
UACAGAGGUCCCGAGCGUUGUUCGGAUUCACUGGGCGUAAAGGGUGCGCAGGUGGGCUGGUAAGUCCGAUGUGAAAGCCCCGGGCUUAACCCGGGAAUGGCAUUGGAUACUACUGGGCUGGAGGAUUGGAGGGGGGACUGGAAUUCUUGGUGUAGCAGUGAAAUGCGUAGAUAUCAAGAGGAACACCAGUGGCGAAGGCGAGUCCCUGGACAAUACCUGACACUGAGGCACGAAAGCCAAGGGAGCAAACAGG